rnacentral:rRNA from 1 species
UACAGAGGGUGCGAGCGUUAAUCGGAAUUACUGGGCGUAAAGCGCGCGUAGGCGGCCCGGUAAGUCCGCUCUGAAAGUCCAGGGCUUAACCCUGGAAAGCGGGUGGAUACUGCCGGGCUUGAAUCCGGAAGAGGCGAGUGGAAUUCCUGGUGUAGCGGUGGAAUGCGCAGAUAUCAGGAGGAACACCAAUAGCGAAGGCAGCUCGCUGGGACGGUAUUGACGCUAAGGCGCGAAAGCGUGGGGAGCAAACAGG